CUGACGGAUAAUGUGUCAGACCCAGAUGCACACAGGCACAAACACAUUGAAGCAAGUUAAUCGUGGUAUUUUUAACAGCUGACAUUUGUUGGAUGCUUACCAUGUACCAGACACUGUGCUGGGCACCACACACAUGUUACCUCACUUGAUCCUCCCAAACAUCUACCUACAACCUUGGAGGCAAGUAGUAUUGUUAUCCCCAUUUUACAGAUGAAGGAAGUGAGACAUCGAGAAGUUAGAGGUCAAGUGCCAGAGCUGGGAUCCUAACCCAGUUCUGUCUGACUUGGGAGUUCUUACUGAAGUAGACAAGGCCACAGACACACCAAGGCAAAGGUAUUAAGAACACGACACCCAGAUCCAUGAGCACAUACAGCAAAAGAUACACAGCUAGGAAUACUGAAACUUGCCAUUACAUAAAGACUUCCAAACACAGUGGUACAUACAUGCCAGCAAAGAAUCAGACAAAAAUCCAUGAUGGCCCUACAUGAAGAAAACUCAGAGACAAAAAUCUACCUUCCAAGACAGGUACAUAAGGGGGUGAUAGUUUUCUUUAAAUAUCCAGUGUCUGCAGGGAAUUAAAAUGCUCUUUUGUGUAUCAUCAACUAAUAACAGUUGACAGGAACAAAGAAGGCUAAUCUAAAAUGACAGAGGUUUAAGGAGCAAGCCCAAUGAAGAGAAUCUGCCUCCGACUUGGUGGUGGACAUUCUUGGGAAGGGACACUGUGGUUUACAGAUCACUCCAGAAGACACGCCCCAACCUUGCCCAGCCACCCACCAGCCCCUCCAGCCCACUCACUGGUCUUACGUCCUGGGGAGCUGUGGUGCAGGGCCCCUGCCCAAGACCAACGCUGCUGCCGGAUUUCAGCCCACGUCUUCUUCACUGACCGCUGGAUAGCUGCUUCAUAGCGCUCCUGAAGGGGAAAGGGGAGAGGAGAGAGAAGACAUCAAAAUGCCGUGUAAGGACGCCACAUGAUUUGCCUCCCCCUAGACUGUGAGGAAGCCCUACAAGGACUGGGCCAUGUCUGCUUUCUUGCUGCUGCAUCACGAGCAGCUACCACAGUGCCAAGUACAUGGAAAUGGUCAUGAAAUGCUGUUGCAUGAGAAUAAAGCGCUGUACUUGGAAGGCACUGUGGCCUAAAGCAGGGUGUAGAGAAGGAGAUUUUUACUUGAAUAAAGAGAAAUCCAUGUGGUAACUUACUGCAAAUGAAUAAACACUUCAAGAGAAGCAAGACAACUCCAUCUCAAUUGAGUCUGAGCAGCUUCCUGGACUAAGGCACUCAGGUAGAAGUUAAUAGAGCUAAUAGUGUUUACUCCAGUGGCUCAGCAACAAAGACUUCUCAGGAGGCACACAGCACAUCUGGAGCUCUUCUUCUGACCUGGUGGACCAUUGAACCUGAGUACAGAUAUUUUCCCGAGAAUGAUGCAACUCUGACGAAAUGUCAUUGGGACAGUGUUAUCCAGGACAAAUUGUAUUAAGCCAAAUUAAUUCCUUGGUUAAUUAUCUAUAUAAUACAGUGAAGCCAAUUUCUGAUUACCCUCAUUUUCAAUCACCAAGUGAAUGUGAUUUUUCAGCUACUUCAUUUUUGGUCUGUAUCAAAUUGUGAGGUUUUAGCCACUGUUAGUUUUAUUUUGCUAUGUUGGUAUCUACCAGAAGUAUUUGUUAAGAACUGGAUAAGGGACAGAUAGCUUGUAUUUAUUUCUUGACACACAGCAUUAGCAGGGCAGAGGCAUGGGAGCUGGCCAUAGGGGCAGUAAGCUUGUCUUCUCGAGAGCCCCAAGGAGGCACGUACUGGGGUCUGCGGCAGGGUCUGGGCCACAUCUCUCAGAGGACCUGUCACAUGUCUCGGGGAGCCUACUCCCCAUCUCCAUCAUCUGGUAGCUGGCAGUCCUUUCCUCUCCUCUCCCUCUUCCUACCCCAACCACCGCUGCCAGACCAAAUAUUCCCCUCAAACACUGAUAGCUCAGUCUGGCUUUUCUGUUUGCCUGCGCCCCUGCCUCCACCAAUGGGAGAGCUUGUGGAGAGAAGAGACUGGGUCUUAAUCCUUCUUGCAGUCCCAGAGCCUUAACCAGGACCUGCCCAGAGCAGAGUAGGAGUUCUGUGUCUGUUUAAUGAAAAUCUGGUUGGAUGGACGGCUGGCUGGCUAGCUGGCUGGCUGGCUGUGGAAGGCUACCUAGAUAGCAUGGAGUCACUCCCCCAGCUGAUUCAAAGCCUAGCCUCUUUAACCCUCAAUGUCUUGAUCAUUUUAGA